rnacentral:rRNA from 1 species
GACGAACGCUGGCGGCGUGCUUAACACAUGCAAGUCGAACGCUGAAGCUCAGCUUUUGUUGGGUGGAUGAGUGGCGAACGGGUGAGUAACACGUGAGUAACCUGCCCCCUUCUUUGGGAUAACGCCCGGAAACGGGUGCUAAUACUGGAUAUUCACUGGUCUUCGCAUGGGGGUUGGUGGAAAGGGUUUUUCUGGUGGGGGAUGGGCUCGCGGCCUAUCAGCUUGUUGGUGGGGUGAUGGCCUACCAAGGCUUUGACGGGUAGCCGGCCUGAGAGGGUGACCGGUCACAUUGGGACUGAGAUACGGCCCAGAAUCCUACGGGAGGCAGCAGUGGGGAAUAUUGCACAAUGGGCGCAAGCCUGAUGCAGCGACGCCGCGUGAGGGAUGGAGGCCUUCGGGUUGUGAACCUCUUUCGCUCAUGGUCAAGCCGCAACAAUGGUUGUGGUGAGGGUAGUGGGUAAAGAAGCGCCGGCUAACUACGU